UACGUAGGUGACAAGGGUUGUCCGGAUUUACUGGGCGUAAAGAGCGCGCAGGCGGUCGUUCAAGUCGGGUGUGAAAGCCCCCGGCUCAACUGGGGAGGGUCACUCGAUACUGAUCGACUCGAAGGCAGGAGAGGGAAGUGGAAUUCCCGGUGUAGUGGUGAAAUGCGUAGAUAUCGGGAGGAACACCAGUGGCGAAGGCGACUUCCUGGCCUGUUCUUGACGCUGAGGCGCGAAAGCUAGGGGAGCAAACGGG
rnacentral:rRNA from 1 species